rnacentral:rRNA from 1 species
GGCUAUGCAUCGGGUGGGGCUAAGAAUGUUAGUCGCGCGCCUUCUAGCUAUGUUGGAGGCGCGGCAUACCGCUCAGUAGCACGUGGCUAACCUACCCUUGGGACGGAGACAUCCCCGGGAAACUGGGGCUAAUUUCCGAUAGGCGAAGCUCCCUGGAAUGGGUUUUCACUUAAAGGGCGCUUAGAUCAUGCUUCUAGGCGUUGCCCAAGGACGGGGCCGCGGCCGAUCAGGUUGUUGGUGAGGUAACGGCUCACCAAGCCUAUAACCGGUGCGGGCCGUGGGAGCGGAAGCCCGGAGAUGGGUACUGAGACAAGGGCCCAGGCCCUACGGGGCGCAGCAGUCGCGUAAACUUCACAAUAAGCGAAAGCUUGAUGGGGCCAUCCCGAGUGCCAUCCGCUGAGGAUGGCUUUUACCCAGUAUAGUUAGCUGGGGGAAUAAGGAGAGGGCAAGUCUGGUGUCAGCCGCCGCGGUAAUGCCAGCUCUCCGAGUGGUGGGGAUGAUUAUUGGGCCUGAAGCAUCCGUAGCUUGCUGAACAAGUCCCCUGUUAAACCCAGCGAUUCAAUCGUUGGUCUGCGGGGGAUACUGUUCGGCUUGGGGGCGGGAGAGGCUGUCGGUAUUCUCGGGGUAGGGGUGGAAUCCUAUAAUCCCGGGAGGACCACCAGUGGCGAAGGCUGUCAGCUAGCACGCGCCCGACGGUGAGGGAUGAAAGCUGGGGGAGCGAACCGGAUUAGAUACCCGGGUAGUCCCAGCUGUAAACGAUGCAGGCUAGGUGUUUGGGCGGCUACGUGCCGCUCUAGUGCCGCAGGGAAACUGUUAAGCCUGCCGCCUGGGAGUACGGCCGCAAGGCUGAACUUAAAG